rnacentral:misc_RNA from 1 species
UUUCCGUAGGUGAACCUGCGGAAGGAUCAUUAUUGAAAAGGAAAACUUCAAUGAUUCUCGUUGACCCGGAAGACAUAGGACGCCCGAAAACACAAACGAAAAUGCAUCUCACCGCUAUGUGCACCACAGCGUGGGUCCCCCUUUGGCUUGUUCGGAGGGGGGCUUACGUUUUCACACAAACUUUGUAUGCAGUGUAGAAUGUAUUUUUUGUUUUUGCGAUCACGCAAUCAAUUCAUCUUUCAACAACGUAUCUUUUGGCUCUCGCAUCGAUGAAGAACC